GUGGAAGGACCCGGCGUCCAGGACAGGAAAGUGCGUGAUUUACAGCUAGAGGGAUAGGCGCUGUCCCGGAGCCCGUCCUGGGCCAGGGAGCAGGAGAGGGAGGGACUACAGUUCCCGACGCGCUGCGGGGCGGGCGGAGAUCGUGCGCUUCGGCGCCAGUUGCACGGCCUUAGCAGCCAGUGGCGGCUCCCCUGCUCCUGUAACAGUCCCCUUGUCUUCUGACCUUUCGCUCCUCGGUCAUGUGUCCUCGCCGGUCGCCGCGGCAGCCAGUGAUGCCCGAGCGGCGGGUUCCCAGGCCCAGGUGUGGGCGCCACCGCCCACCAUGCGCCAAGCCCAGAGCCUGGUUGAAUCGUUCGCCACCUUGUCUACCCAUUUUGGCCAUUAUCCUGCCACCUCCAAAUCCUGUUUUUGACACUUCUCGGGAGAGAGAGAAAACGGAAAGAUAAAGGAAUAAACUCCUCGUGGUCGUAGUUAGUGGGUAAAUUCAGAUCUCGUUUGAACCGAGGUUUUUCUUAUCUCCAGCCACCGUAUCCACCACCACCAGAAUCGUCUUUUUAGUCAUCACAGCUGGUCGCCGUCAGUACCUUGUUCAGAAGCCUCUCGCAGCUUCCAUCGUGUGGUUAUACAAUCCAAAUUCCUUAUAAAGUCCAAAUUCAAGAGGAGGAAUGCACGUUUAGUUAAGUUAAUGUCUAGACCUUACCAGCCAAUUUCUAGCUCCUCAGUAUGGAAAUUGCAACUGAAAACACCCCUUCCAAAAAAAGCAGUCUGCAUUUUUCUCUGAGUUUUCUUCUCCAAAUUUCGCACCCCUGACCUUGCUUACACACUCUGGAUACCACCUGCUGUGGAGUGGCGGAAGCAGACAUCCAGCGAUAGCUAAGUUUCCUGUCGUUGACACCCAAGCAAGACAGGCGUGUACCUAACUGAGGACCUGCCGGUGAUAGAAGUCUCAGCUUUUCUCAGAGACAGAUGAGUCUUCCCUUUAAAUGCUGCAAAGUGCUGCAUAGUAGAUGUUAAAUGAAAGUCAGAAAGAAUCAAAUGUGCUGCAAAUAAUUGAAGGCCACCAGGAACACACCUGUAGCUCAGCAAAGUUGAAGCCAUCGACUGGCUCAUCACAACAAGGAAGGCUGUGCACCACCAGGACCCAGCAGCAGCUCAGCAGCAGCAGUGAGAGGGCCUUGGGAAAGACUUGGAGGGUUUGGCUUAUACAAGUUCAACCCAAUGGAAAUAGAUUAAAAGAGUGAAAGUCACUGGUCUCAAAGAAUCUACGGAAUUCAGCAUUUUGGAAAUCACAUAGCAAUUUUGGGUAGGUAUUCACAUGCACUAAAAAACCAGGCAAACAUCCGACUCCCAGGAUAAAGUGACUGAGAGCAGUAGAAGACUUGUUGAGCCGUAAGGAAUAAGAGGAAAAUUAUGUUAUGAAGUGCAGGAACAGCACAGACCCAGACGAGGGGAUGCAGCCCAGAGCCAGUAACCCGGUGCCUCCUCCUCCCCAGGAAGCAGCGCUGGCUGAUCCCCAGAUACCAUGAUCACACCGUCCCAGGUCCUGAGAGCGCCUCAUAGGUAGACAGUUCUUUGGGACUUUUGGGACGCAGCACUUGAAGAGAGGUCUACCUAAACUUUCCUCCUGGGAGCCUGUGAUCAUUUGAAAGUAACAGAAGAAAGUUGUCAGGCUGAGGA
rnacentral:lncRNA from 10 species